rnacentral:tRNA from 1 species
UGCCCUAUAGCCAAGCGGUAAGGCAGCGGGCUCUGACCCCGCGAUUUCGUAGGUUCGAAUCCUACUAGGGCAGCCA